GAGUGAACGCUGGCGCUAGGCCUAACACAUGCAAGUCGAACGGCAGCACAGUAAUAGCUUGCUCUUACGGGUGGCGAGUGGCGGACGGGUGCGGAAUACAUCGGAAUCUACUUUUUCGUGGGGGAUAACGUAGGGAAACUUACGCUAAUACCGCAUACGACCUACGGGUGAAAGCAGGGAAUCUUCGGACCUUGCGCGAUUGAAUGAGCCGAUGUCGGAUUAGCUAGUUGGCGGGGUAAAGCCCCACCAAGGCGACGAUCCGUAGCUGGUCUGAGAGGAUGAUCAGCCACACUGGAACUGAGACACGGUCCAGACUCCUACGGGAGGCAGCAGUGGGGAAUAUUGGACAAUGGGCGCAAGCCUGAUCCAGCCAUACCGCGUGGGUGAAGAAGGCCUUCGGGUUGUAAAGCCCUUUUGUUGGGAAAGAAAAGCAGCAGGUUAAUACCCCGCUGUUCUGACGGUACCCAAAGAAUAAGCACCGGCUAACUUCGUG
rnacentral:rRNA from 1 species